AUGGUUCUAAUAGAUAUCAGGAAUAUGCUACAAUCAAUGGGCAAGGAGAUAGAGUCAUUCCCUCUUCCCGAUAUUAAUGAAGAUUAUUACACUGCCAACUGUCCAAGGGAGUUCUUCGAGGAAUCCACCAUCGAGUUCAACAUUGAGGACACAAACCUAUCAGACUCAUUUAACACGGAUCAGAGGAAUGCGUACGAUGAAGUUAUAUCUGUUGUUGAUGGUGAUGUGGGUGGUGUGUUCUUCGUAGAUGGACCUGGAGGCACCGGAAAGACUUUUUUGUAUAGGGCACUUCUUGCAACGGUGCAUAUGCAGAAUAAGAUUGCUCUAGCAACAACUACAUCUGGUGUGGCAACUACCAUAAUGCCUGUUGGGAGAAUGACACAGUCACGGUUUAAGAUACCGUUGAGCAUUGAUGAUGGUGGUUUUUUGUAG
rnacentral:rRNA from 1 species